rnacentral:rRNA from 1 species
AUGGCGCGCGGCAAGGUCGCCAUGAGGCUCGUCGGGAACGCGGGGGAGCGCGCCAGGAAGCACGCCAAGGGGGCCGCGGGGCUCAAGAAGAAGGCGUCGGAGCUGGCCACGCUCUGCGGGGUUCCGGUCGGGCUCGUCUGCACCGGCGCCGGGGCUCCGCCGCUCGUGUGGGAGUCGGAGGAGGGCGUGCUCGAGAGGUACCGACGCGCCGUCCCGCCGGAGGCCCGCGCGGGGCACACGCACCGGGCCUACCUCGAGACGGAGCUGGGCAAGCGGAGGGCCAAGCUCGCCAGGGCCCCGCCGCGCUCCCGGACUGGGACGAGGCGCUCAACGACAUGA